rnacentral:rRNA from 1 species
AUUGAACGCUGGCGGCAGGCCUAACACAUGCAAGUCGAGCGGAUGAAGAGAGCUUGCUCUCUGAUUUAGCGGCGGACGGGUGAGUAAUGCCUAGGAAUCUGCCUGGUAGUGGGGGAUAACGUUCCGAAAGGAACGCUAAUACCGCAUACGUCCUACGGGAGAAAGCAGGGGACCUUCGGGCCUUGCGCUAUCAGAUGAGCCUAGGUCGGAUUAGCUAGUUGGUGAGGUAAUGGCUCACCAAGGCGACGAUCCGUAACUGGUCUGAGAGGAUGAUCAGUCACACUGGAACUGAGACACGGUCCAGACUCCUACGGGAGGCAGCAGUGGGGAAUAUUGGACAAUGGGCGAAAGCCUGAUCCAGCCAUGCCGCGUGUGUGAAGAAGGUCUUCGGAUCGUAAAGCACUUUAAGUUGGGAGGAAGGGCAGUAAGUUAAUACCUUGCUGUUUCGACGUUACCGACAGAAUAAGCACCGGCUAACUUCGUGCCAGCAGCCGCAGUAAUAC